rnacentral:rRNA from 1 species
UACGGAGGUGGCAAGCGUUGCUCGGAAUCACUGGGCGUAAAGCGUGCGUAGACGGUUAUUUAAGUCGGAUGUGAAAGCCCCGGGCUCAACCUGGGAAUUGCAUUCGAGACUGAAUAGCUAGGGUACGGUAGAGGGAAGCGGAAUUUCCGGUGUAGCGGUGAAAUGCGUAGAUAUCGGAAGGAACAUCAGUGGCGAAAGCGGCUUCCUGG